GAUUCUGGCUCAGGACGAACGCUGGCGGCGUGCUUAACACAUGCAAGUCGAACGGUAAGGCCCUUCGGGGUACACGAGUGGCGAACGGGUGAGUAACACGUGGGUGAUCUGCCCUGCACUUUGGGAUAAGCCUGGGAAACUGGGUCUAAUACCGAAUAGGACCAUGGACUUCACGGUUUGUGGUGGAAAGCUUUUGCGGUGUGGGAUGGGCCCGCGGCCUAUCAGCUUGUUGGUGGGGUAAUGGCCUACCAAGGCGACGACGGGUAGCCGGCCUGAGAGGGUGACCGGCCACACUGGGACUGAGAUACGGCCCAGACUCCUACGGGAGGCAGCAGUGGGGAAUAUUGCACAAUGGGCGCAAGCCUGAUGCAGCAACGCCGCGUGAGGGAUGACGGCCUCGG
rnacentral:rRNA from 1 species